rnacentral:rRNA from 1 species
GUCCACGCCGUAAACGUUGGGCACUAGGUGUGGGUCUCUACUAACGAGAUCCGCGCCGUCGCUAACGCAUUAAGUGCCCCGCAUGGGGAGUACGGUCGCAAGACUAAAACUCAAAGGAAUUGACGGGGCCCGCACAAGCAGCGGAGCGUGUUGCUUAAUUCGAUGCUACGCGAAGAACCUUACCUAGGUUAAAUCAUAGUGAAAAGCCACAGAGAUGUGGUGUCCUUCGGGGCGCUAUGAAGGUGGUGCAUGGCUGUCGU